AAGGUACUCCCUCCAUUCGGAAUUACUUGUCGCAGAAAUGGAUGUAUCUAGAUGUAUUUUAGUUUUAGAUACAUCCAUUUCCGAGACAAGUAAUUCCGAACGGAGGGAGUACUAG
rnacentral:pre_miRNA from 1 species